AGAGUUUGAUCAUGGCUCAGAUUGAACGCUGGCGGCAGGCCUAACACAUGCAAGUCGAGCGGUAACAGAAAGUAGCUUGCUACUUUGCUGACGAGCGGCGGACGGGUGAGUAAUGCUUGGGAACAUGCCUUGAGGUGGGGGACAACAGUUGGAAACGACUGCUAAUACCGCAUAAUGUCUACGGACCAAAGGGGGCUUCGGCUCUCGCCUUUAGAUUGGCCCAAGUGGGAUUAGCUAGUUGGUGAGGUAAUGGCUCACCAAGGCAACGAUCCCUAGCUGGUUUGAGAGGAUGAUCAGCCACACUGGAACUGAGACACGGUCCAGACUCCUACGGGAGGCAGCAGUGGGGAAUAUUGCACAAUGGGCGAAAGCCUGAUGCAGCCAUGCCGCGUGUGUGAAGAAGGCCUUCGGGUUGUAAAGCACUUUCAGUCAGGAGGAAAGGGUGUGAGUUAAUACCUCACAUCUGUGACGUUACUGACAGAAGAAGCACCGGCUAACUCCGUGCCAGCAGCCGCGGUAAUACGGAGGGUGCGAGCGUUAAUCGGAAUUACUGGGCGUAAAGCGUACGCAGGCGGUUUGUUAAGCGAGAUGUGAAAGCCCCGGGCUCAACCUGGGAACUGCAUUUCGAACUGGCAAACUAGAGUGUGAUAGAGGGUGGUAGAAUUUCAGGUGUAGCGGUGAAAUGCGUAGAGAUCUGAAGGAAUACCGAUGGCGAAGGCAGCCACCUGGGUCAACACUGACGCUCAUGUACGAAAGCGUGGGGAGCAAACGGGAUUAGAUACCCCGGUAGUCCACGCCGUAAACGAUGUCUACUAGAAGCUCGGAACCUCGGUUCUGUUUUUCAAAGCUAACGCAUUAAGUAGACCGCCUGGGGAGUACGGCCGCAAGGUUAAAACUCAAAUGAAUUGACG
rnacentral:rRNA from 1 species